GAAGAAUCAAUUAUCGGUAAGUUAGGUUUAUUAUCGCCAGCAACACCGGCUAGGAGGAGCGUCUCGACGGGUGCGACGACGAAUACCACGCCGUCCACGUGGAUACGGUCGUUGACGAAACCCCUUCUACGACGACGCUCUCGAGUUUUGUCGAUUCGUCGAUUCGUCGAUUCGUCGAGCAAUCACGAGAAACGAAAUUACUGAUGUUUUGGAAUUCUCGCCUAAACAAGGUAAGUCUGACACGCGACAAACGAUCGAUCGAGGAACGAUCGAAAAUACGAAAAGGACUUAUAAGUUGAUUUUUGAUGAGAAAAAACGAUGCCCGUGGCGUGAUAGCGUGAGCAAUGAACGUCUUGACGAUGCGGAGGAUGAGCGAGGUGUGACGACGUCUCCUGCCGACCGGCGAUCCCGGUCCCCACCUGGCAUGGAAACAGAUCGUCAGGCAAGUUCAAGAACCUGGGGCCACUGUGCACGUUCUGUUGCAUACAUACCCAGAAUAUAAAUACAAUCAUGCUUAUAUUGCGAAGAUAUCGAUAGAGAAGCAAAGAUUAAAUACACGGUAAAAGAGGUUUUAAUUAAUCUACGUAAUUCUAUUCAAGAACAAAGUUCGGUUGGGAAGAAGAAAAACGAAACCACUGGUAGCCGGUUUGCUCCCGAACUUAUACACACUCUUUCGUGCGUGAAAUAUACCCACAUACACACACGCGCGCGGGCGCAUGCAUACACGCACAUAUACGGGACCGAUUUGUAAAGGGCAACGGCCUCGUAUGGCCCCACCGAGUUCAUUUCCCCGUUCCUCUGUCUCAGCCGCCGCUUAUUACCGUAACCUUGCCCUUGCUCUUACAUUUCCGCCAUGCUCGAACUUCGAGGAUUGUCUUCCUGGUUCGCCUUGAAUGGCGCCUACCGAUGAAAGCUUAUAGAAGAUCGGAAUCACUUGAACGCGGCUCAAAUUCAAACGUUCCACCUUGAGCCUGCAGAUA